rnacentral:rRNA from 1 species
ACUCCUGCGGAAGGCAGCAGUGGGGAAUAUUGGACAAUGGGCGCAAGCCUGAUCCAGCCAUGCCGCGUGAGUGAUGAAGGCCCUAGGGUUGUAAAGCUCUUUCACCGGUGAAGAUAAUGACGGUAACCGGAGAAGAAGCCCCGGCUAACUUCGUGCCAGCAGCCGCGGUAAUACGAAGGGGGCUAGCGUUGUUCGGAUUUACUGGGCGUAAAGCGCACGUAGGCGGACUAUUAAGUCAGGGGUGAAAUCCCGGGGCUCAACCCCGGAACUGCCUUUGAUACUGGUAGUCUUGAGUUCGAGAGAGGUGAGUGGAAUUCCGAGUGUAGAGGUGAAAUUCGUAGAUAUUCGGAGGAACACCAGUGGCGAAGGCGGCUCACUGGCUCGAUACUGACGCUGAGGUGCGAAAGCGUGGGGAGCAAACAGGAUUAGAAACCCUAGUAGUCCCA